rnacentral:rRNA from 1 species
GACGAACGCUGGCGGCGUGCUUAACACAUGCAAGUCGAGCGGUAAGGCCCUUUCGGGGGUACACGAGCGGCGAACGGGUGAGUAACACGUGGGUGACCUGCCCUCAGCUCUGGGAUAAGCCCGGGAAACUGGGUCUAAUACUGGAUAUGACUCCAUGACGCAUGUUGUGGGGUGGAAAGCCUUGUGCGGCUGAGGAUGGGCCCGCGGCCUAUCAGCUUGUUGGUGGGGNGAUGGCCUACCAAGGCGACGACGGGUAGCCGGCCUGAGAGGGCGACCGGCCACACUGGGACUGAGACACGGCCCAGACUCCUACGGGAGGCAGCAGUGGGGAAUCUUGCGCAAUGGGCGAAAGCCUGACGCAGCGACGCCGCGUGAGGGAUGACGGCCUGGUU